AACGAACGCUGGCGGCAGGCUUAACACAUGCAAGUCGAACGCAUGCCUUCGGGCAUGAGUGGCAGACGGGUGAGUAACGCGUGGGAACCUACCCCUUGGUACGGGAUAGCUCCGGGAAACUGGCGAUAAUACCGUAUGUGUCCUGAGGGACACAGAUUCAUCGCGAAGGGAUGGGUCCGAGCCGGAUUAGCCAGUUGGUGGGGUAACGGCCUACCAAGGCGACGAUCCGUAGCUGGUCUAAGAGGAUGAUCAGCCACAUUGGGACGGAGACACGGCCCAAACUCCUACGGGAGGCAGCAGAGGGGAAUAUUGGACAAUGGGCGCAAGCCUGAUCCAGCCAGGCCGCGUGAGUGAUGAAGGCCCGAGGGUUGGAAAGCUCUUUCACCGGUGACGAUAAUGACGGUAACCGGAGAAGAAGCCCCGGCUAACUUCGUG
rnacentral:rRNA from 1 species